UUGGCGAGCUUUUGUUCGUUUUUCUACUGCCCAAUCAUGCAGACCUUUCGGUAUGCACACGUCUCAGUUCUCUGCAGAAACAUCCACCUAAUAAUUGAGGGAAUAUGGCAGAUCUUACUUGCUUCCAUCUAGCUCUCUACUGGGGGGCCCACCAUGAAGUAUUAGUCAAAAAAUAGCUACCAACCAUUUCAAAUUCUGUUUUGGUAAUUCUCAGUUUGACUGAAACUCUUUCGUAAAACCUCGGUGACCUGCCUAGAAUUCCCAUACUAAAAGUGUGCAAUCAAGCGUGUAUCAAGUGUUUUAAAGCUUGAGCUCAUUGUGGUUGGAAUAGCAUAUGGAAAGCAUAGCAUAGCUUCUGACCUACUAUGCUUUUAUGUUGUGACAUUCUGGAUGUCAGUUUGAUGUUGAGAAAUGCAUGUCGGCUUGAUUGAUUUGAUAACAACAGAAAAUAUUUCAAGACUUUUGGAGGCCACAUAAGACAAUAGGGAAAUAGGAGUCUCUGGGCCAAAUCGAUGUCAGUGGUGUAUUGCAUGCUUUAUUUUUAAGUAAAAAAGAAAAGGCUGAUGCAGAUGGCACUGGCAAAUCUUCUUCUGUCUACCCAAGCUAGCUUGUUUCUUACUUAGUGAUGCACGCAUUGCAUUGCAUACACCCUUGUCAAGUGCAGAAGCAUUAAUCCCCCCUUUGCCAGAAUCCAAGCCAUCAAAAGAAGACAGCAGGACACGGUCGUGCUUUCCACGCAAGUGGUCGACAAUCUAGCUCCUCCCUAUGAAUGAAUGAAUUGGUACAGGCUGAUUAUGGGACGAAAACUGUAGAGCUCCUUUUCUUGAUAAGCUUGUGCCAACCACUGCUACAUAUGAAGCCUAGGACAUCUCAGAGCUCAAUUGUUCCAACUGGUAAGCUUACCUAACAAUUUGAGUUAACUCCCCCCUAAUUAAUUUAUUUUCCACAGAUCGUGGGCAGGCAGCAAAAAAGCAAACGGAGCACCAUUGCUGUUCCUAUUUGAGUACUACUACUCUCCCUAUUUUUCAACACAGGAAUUCCAUGAGGAUUCUUCUGACUUUUGAGAGGUUUUGCAUGCAGGUUCAGGUUCAGAGAAAGAUAGGGACACAGACACAAGAAGAGGAAUGGGGGACAGGAGCACGGGCCCGUGACCGCCCAACGUCCUAUUCCUCUCCAUUUGAGAUUACAAUAGCCUCAAUUAUUGGCUGGCUGCCCGCCAAAUCUCCCCAUUUGUUUUUCUGGGCCUUGGUUUUGGAAGAUCGAGAGAGCUCGAGCGUUUGGGAUACAUACACACCAUUGCCAUGUGACGAGGCAAAGGCAGGUUGGGAGAAAACGAUGAGCCGGAUUUGGAUUGGAACCCCAUUUUUCUUCUAGCAGAGGAGAGGAAAGAAAAUGGAAUUUAGUGAUCGGGAAUUAAAUGGCUCUCGCUAGCUACUCCUUGUUUCCUUGCCCUUUAUGAGGCUCCUUGUCCUCUUGCUUCCCAGUUGCCUGAAAGGUGGGUCCCUGUCAACUAUAGUCAACAGUGCCCUAAUGUGGUCUCGGUUUCUUUA